rnacentral:rRNA from 1 species
CCUACGGGAGGCAGCAGUGAGGAAUAUUGGUCAAUGGGCGGGAGCCUGAACCAGCCAAGUCGCGUGAGGGAAGACGGUCCUAUGGAUUGUAAACCUCUUUAGUCGGGGAGCAAUGCCCGGCACGUGUGCCCUUAGGGAUAGUACUCGCAGAAUAAGCAUGGGCUAACUCCGUGCCAGCAGCCGCGGUAAUACGGAGGAUGCGAGCGUUAUCCGGAUUCAUGGGUUUUAAGGGGUGCUCAGGCGGGCCUUUAAGCCGGCGGUGAAAUCGCGGGCCUAAACUCCGCCUAGCCGUCGAUACUGGGGGGCUUGAGUGCAGCAGAGGCAGGCAGAAUGCGCGGUGUAGCGGUGAAAUGCAUAGAUAUCGCGCAGAACCCCGAUUGCGAAGGCAGCGUGCCGUGCCGCGACUGACGCUGAGGCACGAAAGCGCGGGGAUCGAACAGGAUUAGAUACCCGUGUAGUC